rnacentral:rRNA from 1 species
CAGGACGAACGCUGGCGGCGUGCCUAAUACAUGCAAGUCGAACGGUCUUUUCUAUGGAAGCUUGCUUCCACUGAGAAGAUAGUGGCGAACGGGUGAGUAACACGUGGGUAACCUGCCCAUAAGAGGGGGGAUAACAUCCGGAAACGGGUGCUAAUACCGCAUAGUUUUCUUGAUCGCAUGAUCGGGAAAGGAAAGACGGCCUUUGUGCUGUCGCUUAUGGAUGGACCCGCGGCGUAUUAGUUAGUUGGUGAGGUAACGGCUCACCAAGACGAUGAUACGUAGCCGACCUGAGAGGGUGAUCGGCCACAUUGGGACUGAGACACGGCCCAAACUCCUACGGGAGGCAGCAGUAGGGAAUCUUCCGCAAUGGACGAAAGUCUGACGGAGCAACGCCGCGUGUGUGAAAGAAGGUUUUCGGAUCGUAAAACUCUGUUGUCAGAGAAGAACAAGUUGGAGAGUAACUGCUCCAGCCUCGACGGUAUCUGACCAGAAAGCCACGGCUAACUACGUGCCAGCCGCGGC